GCAUUCAGAGAAGCCACUGUGAUUUCGGUGUGCGUUAAAGUUUGGGGGGCGCUGUGUGCACAGCCGCCCCACAGGGCAUUGAGGGGCCGGCACAGAGCCAGAGCUGGGGGGCUCCCAGGCUGCCUGGCCUCACCAGCGCGUCCCACACACAGGCACACUCCAGGGGGUACCUCCCUC